rnacentral:tRNA from 2 species
GGGCAGGUAGCUCAGCUGGUAGAGCGUCGGACUGAAAAUCCGAAGGUCACCGGUUCAAUCCCGGUCCUGCCCACCA